rfam:Danio rerio chromosome 20, GRCz11 reference primary assembly.
GGGGGAAUAGCUCAGUGGUAGAGCAUUUGACUGUAGAUGAAGAGGUUCCCAGUUCAAAUCCGGAUGCCCCCU